GACGAACGCUGGCGGCGUGCUUAACGCAUGCAAGUCGAACGAUGAAGCCGGAGCUUGCUCUGGUGAAUUAGUGGCGAACGGGUGAGUAACACGUGAGUAACCUGCCCUUGACUCUGGGAUAACUGCUAGAAAUGGUAGCUAAUACCGGAUACGACCCUCGGAGGCAUCUUCAGGGGGUGGAAAGAAUUUCGGUCAAGGAUGGACUCGCGGCCUAUCAGCUAGUUGGUGAGGUAAAGGCUCACCAAGGCGACGACGGGUAGCCGGCCUGAGAGGGUGACCGGCCACACUGGGACUGAGACACGGCCCAGACUCCUACGGGAGGCAGCAGUGGGGAAUAUUGCACAAUGGGCGCAAGCCUGAUGCAGCAACGCCGCGUGAGGGAUGAAGGCCUUCGGGUUGUAAACCUCUUUUAGCAGGGAAGAAGCGAAAGUGACGGUACCUGCAGAAAAAGCACCGGCUAACUACGUGCCAGCAGCCGCCGCGG
rnacentral:rRNA from 1 species